rnacentral:tRNA from 1 species
UUAGGUUUAAGCUAUAUAAGCUUUUGGGUUCAUACCCCAUUGAAUUUAUCCUAAA